AAGCUCUCUUAUCCGGGAUGAUAACGACAGUACCGGGAGAAUAAGCUCCGGCUAACUCCGUGCCAGCAGCCGCGGUAAUACGGAGGGAGCUAGCGUUGUUCGGAAUUACUGGGCGUAAAGCGCGCGUAGGCGGCUUUGUAAGUUAGAGGUGAAAGCCCGGAGCUCAACUCCGGAAUUGCCUUUAAGACUGCAUCGCUAGAAUCCGGGAGAGGUGAGUGGAAUUCCGAGUGUAGAGAUGAAAUUCGUAGAUAUUCGGAAGAACACCAGUGGCGAAGGCGGCUCACUGGACCGGCAUUGACGCUGAGGUGCGAAAGCGUGGGGAGC
rnacentral:rRNA from 1 species